CCUACGGGUGGCAGCAGUGAGGAAUAUUGGUCAAUGGACGCAAGUCUGAACCAGCCAUGCCGCGUGCAGGAAGACGGCUCUAUGAGUUGUAAACUGCUUUUGUACGAGGGUAAACGCAGCUACGUGUAUCAGUCUGUAAGUAUCGUACGAAUAAGGAUCGGCUAACUCCGUGCCAGCAGCCGCGGUAAUACGGAGGAUUCAAGCGUUAUCCGGAUUUAUUGGGGUUAAAGGGUGCGUAGGCGGACUGUUAAGUUAGGGGUGAAAUCCCGAGGCUCAACUGCGGAAUUGCCUUUGAUACUGGUCGGCUAGAGUAUAGUAGCGGUAGGCGGAAUGUAUGGUGUAGCGGUGAAAUGCUUAGAGAUCAUACAGAACACCGAUUGCGAAGGCAGCUUACCAGGCUACAUCUGACGUUGAGGCACGAAAGCGUGGGGAGCAAACAGGAUUAGAUACCCGAGUAGUC
rnacentral:rRNA from 1 species